UAUCUCUGUAGAGUCUGCAUAUCAAUAAGCGGAGGAAAAGAAACUAACAAGGAUUCCCUUAGGUAACGGCGAGUGAAGCGGGAAGAGCUCAAAUUUGAAAUCUUCAAGGUUCUACCUUGACGAAUUGUAGUUUAAAGAAGUGUUUUCUGUUAGAUGAGUUAGGCUAAAAGUUCUCUUGGAAUAGGACAUCAUAGAGGGUGAGAAUCCCGUAUUUGACCAGUUAUUUUCCAGCUGUGUGAUACACUUUCAAAGAGUCGGAUCGUUUGGGAAUGCAGUCCAAAAUGGGUGGUAAAUUUCAUCUAAAGCUAAAUAUUGGCGAGAGACCGAUAGCGAACAAGUACCGUGAGGGAAAGAUGAAAAGAACUUUGAAAAGAGAGUUAAACAGUACGUGAAAUUGUCAAAAGGGAAGCGUUUGACACCAGUGUUGUUUUUCCGAAAAUCAAUUACGAAUGGCUUGAUUCUGUGUUGUAUUGACCUUAUCAGCUUUCUUCACUUUUUUCGAGUCUUUCUUAAUGCACUUUUCGGUUAACAAGUCAACAUCAAUUUCUUUUGUUGUAAAAGAGUAUUCGGAAGGUGGCUUUCUUUUCGGAGAAAGUGUUUAUAGCCCUAUACUUCUACAAUCGGAGAGAUUGAGGUCUGCAGCGUAGAUCCUUCGGGGUUAGAUACACUUGUGCUAAGUUGUAGCUUUUCAUAGACAACUUGUUGACUAUGUUUAGUCAUGCGGCUUACUCGCUUGUGCUAUUUUACCUACGCUUAGGAUGUUGAAGAUGUAGCACAUCAU
rnacentral:rRNA from 1 species